AAAAGCGUUUGUGGUCUGUCCGUUUCACAGGUGUCACUGUCAUGAUGGCUGCUGGUUGGUUUGUGCUUGUGCUGCUGCAUGCUGGCCUAAUGGGCAAAGGCUUUUGUGUUCCAGCUGGUGCUGAACAAAAUGACUCUAAUGCUGGACCUACAAAAGGUGUCUCUCCUGAUGAUGUUUCACUUAAGGGGGCUUUUGAACUUCUCACACUUUAGAAUAUCUGUUUAAGGUACAUGCUAAAGGCCAACUGGAAAAUCAGAACGUGACCAACAGCCAGGAAAAUGUGAGCUCAAAGAGUCACUCCAGCUACAAUGACUACCUCCAGAAUGCCUUGAGCCAAAACCUGAGCAGAAAGGGCCACCAGGAUGACUCCUUCAGCCGCGACCAGCAGAGACCCAACAUAAGCAGCAAGGGCUACCAGAACGAUGACUUUAGUCACAAGAAUGACUACAUGAGCAGCAAGGGGCACCAGAACGACUCCUUUCACCACCAGAAUGUGAGCCACGACUACAUGAGCCACGGCCACCAUAACGACUACAUGAGUGAGAUGAGCCAUGAUGACAUGGGCGAUGGCCACCAGAUGGACUUGUCUGUCUGAGCAAAAAACUACCCGACCAACUGGGCCAUGAUUUGACAGAUGGUGUUGAAGGUUGUUUGAAGUAUGCGACUGUUUCAUUGCAGCAUUACUGAAGAGCUCCAAAAUAUUCAUGUAAUCAAUAAAACUCUUAACUUGA